GGCAGAGUGGAGUGCGCCAUGAAGAGCUCGGGCACGGCUUGCAACUUUCUGCUGCUGACGAUGGUCGCAGUCUCCAGCGGCCGCAACGCCGCGGAGUACUUCCAGCAGGCGAGAUUCCAGUACCCUCCGUCGAGGCCCGACGACGCCUUCGUCAUCUUCACAGCCACUGCUCCGCCCCUCAUUUGCGAGCCGGAGAUGGAGGCCAACUGGAUCGGAGGAGACAGCUUAAAAACCGAUCUCAUUCUCGAGACGCCAAGUGCCGGAUCGUACUACACGUGCUCUUUCGAAGGAAACGCAACAACGGACACUAAUCUGAAACUGAUUCAAAAAAGUCUGCCAGAUGUUUUCACUUCCACAGGUCAACGGAGAGUAAAGUUUAGCUUCAGCGGAAUGUACUGCAUUACCGAUUCGAAGCUACCGGGUGAAUAUUUCGACUUGAGAAUACAGCGCCCUAACGAGGAACAUCCAGUGAAAUGUAUCCGUGGUGUUGCAGGGGCCUUAUAUCUCAGGUUUCCGGGAUACCCAACCAUAAUUUGCAAAACUUUUGGGCGUGUUGAUCUUUCUUAUCGUUUUAAUCUACCGGGUAUAGUUGGUGAUCGGAUGGCAUGCGCAUUCCAGGUGUACGUAGACUUACCGACAUCGAACAAGAACACAGAAAAACUGCUUUACGAGUCUCUGGUUAGCACACUCCCCUUCCGUGUGGAUGGCCGACUGCCAGACUUCGUAUGCUCUCUCCAAACAGGCCCAUACGGAACCGCCCACUUACAGGUGCGAUUCCCGGGAGCUGCUACUUAUGCUUGCAAUUUCCCCGACACUUAAUAAGCACCAUUUCUGACGGACUGCCACGUCGUCACAAGGGGCGACAACCUGUUUCUACGAUGCUGUGGAAGCAUUCAGAAUAUGAGAAAGCCGGAAAGCAGUCUUCGUAUACUGUAAUUAAUUUCAGUAAGCAAUUAUAUGCCAUUAUGUCAUGUAAAGCUUAUGAAAGACAAAAAAAUUUCUGAAACUGCAAUAAAUACCAGCCAGUGAUUAUAAAUGUU